UAUUAAUAUCUUCAUUUUAAAAGUAUUUAUAUUAAGAUUGAUCGUCGACAAAUUUAUUCUGACACUUUUGGUGGUUGAUUGAACCUGAGUCCGUGACUGUAUUGUCAUUAAAAAAAUGGCGAAAAUAAAAUUUAAAAUUGACGAUUUAUACACAGCAAUAGAGGCACUAACUGUAGAGAUACCCUCAAAGACUACAAAUGGGUGUAAAAUAUGCAGCAUUGUGGACAUUCAUUACGGGGAUUGUGUAAUUUCCGCCAAAAAAAAGUGUUAAAAAAUUAUAUCCGGAGUUAGUGUAUUAAAAAAACCUUGUAUGCAGAUUGAAGAGUUAAUGUAUAAUGCCACGAAUAAAAUCAUAUGUUCACGAUGAAUGUGUAGUUACGGUGCACCGAAAAUAUGUUGUGUACCUAAAUUACAGGGCUAAUGUAAAUUUCAACACGAAUAUAGCAGUGCAAAUUGACUACACCCUUAUUACCAACUUAAGUAAGGGGUUCAGAUGAUAUUUUAUUAACAAUUAGAAGAUGGUUUAUAGUCCUCUGAGAAAAAAACAUUGAUGUCGACAAAACAAUUUUUAAAAUUAUGGAGGAUUACAUCAACCACCACAUACUUAGUUUUAUUAAGGAGAAUAUUUCAAAAAAAAGUUGUGAAUCAAGUUUUUUUUUAUUUAUAUUCUACCAAAGUCAACUACUUUUUAUUUAUUUUA